rnacentral:rRNA from 1 species
CCUACGGGAGGCAGCAGUGAGGAAUAUUGGUCAAUGGGCGAGAGCCUGAACCAGCCAAGUCGCGUGAAGGAUGACGGCCCUACGGGUUGUAAACUUCUUUUGUCAGGGAGCAAUUGGGUCCACGCGUGGGCUUAGCGAGAGUACCUGAAGAAAAAGCAUCGGCUAACUCCGUGCCAGCAGCCGCGGUAAUACGGAGGAUGCGAGCGUUAUACGGAUUUAUGGGGUUUAACGGGUGCGUAGGCGGAGUAUCAAGUCAGCGGUAAAAAUUCGGGGCUCAACCCCGUCGUGCCGUUGAAACUGAUGUUCUUGAGUGGGCGAGAAGUAUGCGGAAUGCGUGGUGUAGCGGUGACAUGCAUAGAUAUCACGCAGAACUCCGAUUGCGAAGGCAGCAUACCGGCGCCCAACUGACGCUGAAGCACGAAAGCGUGGGUAUCGAACAGGAUUAGAUACCCCAGUAGUC